GAUUUCGUAGUGUAGUGGUUAGCACGCAGGUCUCAUGAGAGUUGUGUGUUGCACAUCUCGAAGAAAAUCGGCAACCCGAGUUCAACUCUCGGCGGAACCU